rnacentral:rRNA from 1 species
AUGCCGGCCGCCUUCCCGGACCGGUCGCGCAGCCGCCACAGCUCGCCCUGCACGCCCGCCUGCAGCACCCCCUUGGUGGCGAAGUCGAACGCCAUGACCGACGGCGACGCCGCCUCCACCCAGUCCACCAGCCCCUGCCGGCACAGGUCCUGGUUGUGCGACGGCCUGCCGUCGCCGUCGUAG